AUAAGUAUGCCUUUCUGUAUGGCUUUCAGUUUCUAAUUAUAUAAGAUUGAUUUAGUUACCCAGUGUGUGUAUGCUUUUAGCAUCAAAACUAGAAUUGAGCUUAUUGAAACACAUCCUCAAGGAACGUAUAUCACUUGAGUGUUUGUUCUCCUGAACAUUUUCCCCCCUUAGUUUGCAUAUUAACAGAGUUUGUACAAUUGAAUUAUUAUUUCUGCUUGAAAUUGUUUUUUCUUUUUUAUGGCCACACCUUCGGCAUAUGAAAUUUCCUGGGUUACAGGUGGAAUUGGAGCUGCAGCUGCUGGCCUGCAUCACAGCUAUAGCAAUGUGGAAUCCAAGCUGGAUCCUUAGCCCACCGAGUGAGGCCAAGGAUCAAACCUGCAUCUUCAUUACCAUUGAGCCACAAUGGGAACUCCUGGCCUUUUUAAUCUAUAAAAUCUGCCAUACCUACAUAAUUUGAAGGGCACAGAAGGAGCCAGAGCCAGCGGUGGCUCCCUUCUUAACCUUCCAACUAUCCCAUCAGGGAAAUGGUUGCUGAUUUUUAUUCUCUGCUUGCUGCUAUGGCUCUUAUAGUCUUACAUUAAAUCUGCCCAUAAUUUGGGGAUUAGAGAUCGUGGCUUGCCAGCUUGAAAAUCCAGUCGUUCUUGUAGUUAAUUAUUUACUAGUAUUGACACAGAAACAUGUGUAUACACAACCUGAUUUCUUUAUUUUUCAGCAGCUAUUUCUUUUAUUCUUCAAACAGUGACUUUGGGGGAGGUAGAAGGGGGUUCGGAACUAUUUCUGAGGAGAAAUGCUUUCUUAGAACUAUUGCAUAAAGAACAUUUUAUAAGUCUGAAAUCACAUUGUGAUAUUUCAAUAUAAUAUUGUACUACUUUACAGAAUGUCAAAUCUUAAUGGUAAGGUGAUUUUGAAAACCUCAGUAAUAAUGACUGUUGUUACUGAGUGGACACCUGGGGUUAACUGCUAUAUAUUCUUAGCAUCAUUUGUGAUGUUGAUUUGAAGAAAUUUUUGCAGAUGAGGUAUGUUUUCUGGCUUUAUGUAUUUGUCAAGUUAAAUACAAACUUUGUCCCUCAAAAAUAAUAAAAUUUAAUAGAGUAAAAGGGAAAAUUAUAUUUGCAAUAUUCUAUAGUUUUUAAUACCUUAGUGACAUUAUUUCUCUUUAAAAGAUUUGCUUAGGAGUUCCCAUGGUGGCUCAGUGGUUAACAAACCUGACUGGCAACCAUGAGGAUGUGGGUUCAAUCCCUGGCCUCUAUCAGUGAGCUAAGGAUCACCAGAUGCUGUGAGCUGUGGUGUAGGUCGCAGACAUGGCUCGAAUCUGGCAUUGCGGUGACUGUGGUGUAGUCCAGUGGCUGCAGCUCCAAUUCAACCCGUAGCCUGAGAACCUCCAUAUGCCGCAGGUGCAGCCCUAAAAUGACCAAAAAAAAAAAAAAAA
rnacentral:lncRNA from 1 species